rnacentral:tRNA from 1 species
GGCAAGGUAGCUCAGUUGGUUAGAGCACCGCACUCAUAAUGCGGGGGUCGGCGGUUCAAAUCCGCCCCUUGCUACCA